UAAAAAAAUACAAUUGAACAAUAAAGUGGAAUAAAUAAGUCCAAUUAAAAAGAGUUAUGAGUGGACAUUGGAAUCAUAUUCAUUUAAAUUAAUAAUAAAAAUAAUUAUAAAAAAAACAUAAAGAAAUAGAAGCAACAAAGAAAAAGAAUAGUCUCUUCUCUUCACUCUUUAUAAGCCUUCAAAUAAAAACCAGAGAAACUCAGCUCUCUCUUCUCUCUAUUUUUGUACCUUCGAAUCAAAUCAAAACAAGACCAUGGUGGAGCUAUUCGUUCUAGGGUGCACUGGAAUUGUGGUGUUCCUUCACGGAGCCAAUUUCUUCUUCCACGCUAUAACCCAACAUCUUUCCAUUCGAUCUCUCAGCUUUCUGGGAUUUGUUGGGUGGUAGAGAGAGAAAGAAGAAUAGAAGAGAGAGGGAGAGAGAGAGACGAUCGCAUGUCCACGGUAAGGAAUCUGGUGGUGGCGUACACCCGCGGCGAUGCUUUGUAUAUAGAUUUGUUAAUGUUUAAUAGCUGUGAUUAUCUUAAUAAUAUUGUAUUUGAUUAAACAAAUUGGGAAACUUCGGCUAAUUUUGAAAGCUUAUCCAUAGUCUAGUAGUAACGUAAGCUUCUAAUAAGUUGUUUUCGUGGAAAAAGUUAUGUAUUUUUCAUUCAAUUCAGGGUUUCUGGUCAAAAUGGCAAAUAUUUUGAGGUGAUUUUGUA